GAUGAACGCUAGCUACAGGCUUAACACAUGCAAGUCGAGGGGCAGCAUGGGCUUAGCUUGCUAAGCCCGAUGGCGACCGGCGCACGGGUGAGUAACACGUAUCCAACCUUCCGGUAACUCUGGGAUAAGCCUGGGAAACUAGGUCUAAUACCGGAUAGGAGCGCCUACCGCAUGGUGGGUGUUGGAAAGAUUUAUCGGUUUUGGAUGGACUCGCGGCCUAUCAGCUUGUUGGUGAGGUAAUGGCUCACCAAGGCGACGACGGGUAGCCGGCCUGAGAGGGUGACCGGCCACACUGGGACUGAGACACGGCCCAG
rnacentral:rRNA from 1 species